AAGAUUAAUAUAAUUUAAAUAUUAUUAUUUAUUUUAGAAGAUAUAAAUGUUAUAACAAAAAAAAAUAUGAAUUUUUAUUCGUAAUAACGAUUCUAUUUUUAGUACGUUUUCUUACGCUUCGUUAUCGUAUAUAUGUCGUUGUAGUAAAUACGCAUUGUUACCUUGUAUACAAGAAUGAUCUUAGAAGUACAAUAACAAAAACAUUCGAUAAAUAAAACAUGAAAUCGCCGACGAUGGAAGAAAAUCUAUAAACAAGAAAGUGUCUAUGGAACUACAGCUCAGUUGAAAUAUUAGUUAUAUAAUCAACAAAAAUUAUGUGCUGUGAUUCGUAUAGAUUUUUCAAAAAUUCUAAAUUUCUGGCACAUGUAAUCUGUAUAUAGAAAUAUUUUGAAGAAUGAAUUAAGCUGAAUCUAUGUGAAUAUUAUUCAAAAUCUAAGGUAAUAGUUUAUCAGAUAAUUACAAAAAGAAACGGACACGUAAUAGAAAGAAAAAAGAGAUAUGGAGAAAAAAAAAGAAGAAGAAAGAUUAAUGAGCAACAAUUAGGAAAUGUUAAAAAAAGUAUUUUAUUUAAAUUUAUUAGACAUUUAAUCUUAUCGUCCAAAUAUGACAUUUCUCAUUAGUUUCUAAUAUAUAUACAUAUAAGUAUUCUAUAUUUUUUAUCCACUAUAAUAUAGAUAAAAGACAUAGGUACACAAAAAAAAUUAUCCUGCAUAAAUAUAUAUUCAUAUAUUUAUUUACAUCUAUAUCUGCAUUUCUAAACCAUUUCUGUCGUGUAGCCAAUAUAUUUGCUUGUAAUGCAAUCGCGGAUCAUAUUUUCAUAAUAUAAAAUUUUUAAUAAUCUUGUAAAAUGAAUUUCUAUAAGAUAUAUUAUUUUAAAUAUACAGCUGUUAUUACGUUAUAUAGUGUGUAUCUUAUUUCAAAUAUGCUGCUGUUUUCGUGAUAUUCUCGUGAAUUCGCAAGAUUAUUCUACGAGAACUUUCUUGAAAUCUCUUAGAAAGUAAUCAUUUUCUUCGCUCUGGCAUAAAGCAAUAGUAGGAAGAUGAUGAGUAAGUAAAGAAAGAAGAGGAACAAAUAGUCAAGGAAAGGAGCAGAACUUCCAUCAAAAGCGUAUUUUCCUUUAUAAACAAUAUAUUUGUAAUUUAUUCUAUCAUUUAUUACCUCAUGUUGCAACGUAUUAAAAAUAUGUUACAUUAUAGCGAAAUAUGCUACAUAGGUUGCUAAUUCACGUUUCAAAGAACGUAUUGCAUGAUUAUACAAUGUAUUGUAAUAAUUAAUAGUUAUAGUAAAAGUUAUAGUAAAUAUUUUAUGAAUUUUAUUAUUCGACAAUUAUAAGUACUAUUCGAAUUUGAAUUUUCCAUUAAGAUCCGUUGAGAAUCGCAAAUCAACACAAUCCAUUUUUCUUAUACUUGUCGUUCUUAUACUUUCUGUAUAGCAAUAACAAAAUCACUAUUUAUCUUACCUAGAAAUUCAAUGUAAAAAUAAAGUAUUUCCUCCAAAACAGAAUUUUCAUACACGCGAAGAUCUCUUUCUAUUGUCUUUUUCAUCAUUAUUUAAUUAGGAUGUAUUAUAUUUCCUUUCUCUCUCUCACCGUAAAACUGAACAAUCGAACAAGAACGAUCUAUAAAACUAUUUAUCACCAAUUUCUUUUUUAGAGAUCAUGCGAUUGUUCUUCCCGUACUUGAACGGAAUUAAUCUUUAUAUGUGUGUCCAGAACGUCUCCAGGAGAAGACUGAUGAAUGGUUUCUAUCUGUCCCUCUAUUUCUUUCAAACGAUUGUCGAUUGCAAACAUAUGCCCUCACAUCUAAGUUCUCUUUUGUUUAAACGAAAAUGCCAAAAUAUAAGAAUCAUACAUAAUUUAUGAGAAUGUUCUUCGCAGGGAAGCAAAGUUAACUGACUGAAACGAUCAACAGCUGUUCUACAUUUGCUUAGAAAAAAUUUCAAACAUAUGGCAGAAAAGAAUGCAUCUGUCAAUCGGAUGUGCAAUGGGAACAGAAAAAAUUAUACGUCUUAACUAAAUGACGUAUAGUGAAAAAUGUUCAAGUAGACAUUCUGAAAAUUUUUUCCAUCGUAUUUGACCACGAUGAAAAACUGAGUCCAGCAUAAAUGUGGAAAUCCUACGACUAUGUGGCUCAAAUUGUACUCUGUAUAUAAAAGACGUUAAAGACAGAUGAAUGGUUCCCAAAUCACCUUUUCUCCUGUACCAUCCCGGAAUUUCUCAUCAGAAAAAAUAGCAUUCUUGGAACAAAAACCUUUGUCAUGCUCUAUACCUUCCUAUCUGGAAUAUGGUGUCAAAUAAUUCAGAGGAGGGACUUGGCCAUGCCCAAUCAUAAAAGCGCAUUUUCGAAAUCUGAACUCCGCCUAUAAUGUGCCCAGAGAAGGGAGAUGUCGGUCGCAUGAAGUUACUAUAUAAUCGAUUUGGCGCAUUGGAUUUCUCAGUAUUAUAAGAAUACUCCGUGCAUCUCAACACUUGCACACAAUUACAAUGUAAAUCAACCACUAUACGAACAUGCUUGGACUUAUUACGACCAGCCACAAAAUUAAUUGGAUCUAAAAUAAUACAUAGAUCCGGACUUAUUUGAUCAUUUUACGGUCAACCAUGGAAUCACUCUUGCUUAUAUGAUGCUAAAACAUAACAGAAUUAUACUGGUGAAUAAGAAUCUUUCGGACUGGACUCAUCAGAAUUUGUUGGAGUUUCAAUAGUUCUUCCAAUUGGAUCCAUAUAAGUGUGGAAGGCACUUCUUGAUGAUGAAGAAAUCAUUUAAAAACUCAUAUUUUAUCAAGAGAAUCGCAAGUCUUGCUAGUUCCUGAAGAUACAAUUAUAAAAGUAACUUUUAAUGGAAUUAGAUCGCUCAUUAGAGCGGCACUUUCUACAUUUACGGAUCAUACUACUCUACCAUCACGACCCGGUGGAAAUUUGAAUUAUGUAUCCGAAAUCUAACAACAACCAAAUCUGAAGCCAUCCACCAAUUUCUAAUCCAUUUAACGAUCUCCAAGUCUUUCACCAAUCUAUAAACCAACCAUCAAUAUCUUGCUAUCUGCAAAAAACUUGGAAAAUUCGAAAUCAUCGACAUUGUAACGAAACAACGAUUGGCCACAAUUCUACGAGGAAAAAACAUCAAAGUGUUGUGAUAUUAUAGGUGUUAUUUCGUCUGCAAAUCUUCCCGAAGAUUUUGUCUCAGAACGCGUUGUUACAAAGUGUAAGAAUGAGCAAAAAGUUGAUAUCAUUUUAAGGGUUUUCUGAAAUUUCUUUCUAUUUUCAUUUUAUUCAAUAUUGCUUGCACGUGUUAAAGGCUUCGUAAAGUGUAUCAUAAAAGCUAAUUAUAUUUAUCUAUUAUGUAUCAAUAACGAUAAAAGGUCAAUACAGUUGUAGACGUCGACAUUUGAAGAUCAUCACGUAUGCUUGUUCUUGCAUCCCAAUAUUAAAUGAGUUUUGGUUCCAUUGAUUGCCAGAAUUUUCUCACUACCGUCGGCAUUUUUUUUGUACGAUUUCUUAUUCUAUAGCACUAAAAUGCGAUUAUGUUCUCUCCACUACUACUAUCGCUAUUUUUUAUUGCCUAGUGUUUAAUAUUGGUACCUAUUUAGAUCACUACUUAAUCAUUAUUAAAGUACAUAAAUUCCACCUUAAAGAAUUUGUCAACUUAUAUUGCAUAAUUAUAAAUUUGGUGACGAUUAUUGCAACCAAUAUGAAUAAUGUCGUCUGCGUCUAAAAAACUUGCAAAAAAAUUAAGGCUCUGGACAUACAUAUAUAUAUAUAUAUAUAUAUAUAUAUAUAUGUAUGUGUAUGUAUUAUAGCAGAAUUCGAACACAGGUAUCUUUUUUACUUUACGGGCGAAUGCUCUUGACCAACUGAGCUACCUAAACACCUCAGUCCCAAAAUUCUCUCCAGAAUUUUUAUACUCAUACUGAAUUGAAUGUCAACGUCAAGACACUUUUAGCCACCUUUGUUAGAUACUUUGUAUUAUUAUAAAUAUCACAGAUAGAUACCCAAAUAUUUUUAUGCCGUAUGGCGCGUUGGGUUCCAAUAUAGACACUGAUGAUGUGUCAUACACUUUCGCCCUCCCCGCCAAACCGCUAUCACACAUGCACAGCAUAUGUCAACAAUACAUACAACAAUUUUCUUCACAAUUUGAGAAAGUUUCGAAAGAGAAAGUCAUGUUUUUCUAUAUUAUAUAACCAGCAACUAUAAUAUAAUACAGAAGGGGCAUUACUUUUUUUCGACCUGAACUCAGAAAUGUGAAGAAAAUCUUUGGCAAAUGAUUUUUUGGAUUUGUGAGAAGAAAAUCUUUGGCUUAUGAUUUUUUGAUUUGGUCCUUAAAAUACUUACAUCAAUAUUUUAAACACUAAUGUGAUAUGUACAAGAAUAGACUGAUGAAUAUUUACAAUAAUGAGAAAAUAUAUUAGAAUAAUAUUUAAUCAUACAAUCGUUUAAGAACAAAGAUUUCUAUGAAAGUGUGGCUUGGACUGUUGUUUAAACACUCUUUUCAAAUUUGAAUGUAAAAAUUCGUGAAGAUAUUUUGUUUCCUUCGGAUAUUCUGGGCCAGGAUUCGAACCUGGGUCUUUCGCUUUCCGUGUAUGUUUUCCAUCCUUUGCUUAUACCAAUGUAGCUAUCUAGGCCCUGUAAUUAUAUUUCUCUUAAAAGGCUUUUGAGUAACGAUAGGGAACGCUCAUCUACAUAUGUGUAUGUGUAUUUGUAUUUGUGGUCUGUGUAUGUAUUAUAAAUAUAAAUACAAAUAUAUCCACAUGUAUACAUACUGAAAUAUAAUAAUAUAUGUAUGUA